rnacentral:rRNA from 1 species
UAUGGAGAGUUUGAUCCUGGCUCAGAGUGAACGCUGGCGGCGUGCCUAAUACAUGCAAGUCGAACGAUGAAGCUUCUAGCUUGCUAGAAUGCUGAUUAGUGGCGCACGGGUGAGUAACGCAUAGGUUAUGUGCCUUUUAGUUUGGGAUAGCCAUUGGAAACGAUGAUUAAUACCAGAUACUCCCUACGGGGGAAAGAUUUAUCGCUAAGAGAUCAGCCUAUGUCCUAUCAGCUUGUUGGUAAGGUAAUGGCUUACCAAGGCUAUGACGGGUAUCCGGCCUGAGAGGGUGAACGGACACACUGGAACUGAGACACGGUCCAGACUCCUACGGGAGGCAGCAGUAGGGAAUAUUGCUCAAUGGGGGAAACCCUGAAGCAGCAACGCCGCGUGGAGGAUGAAGGUUUUAGGAUUGUAAACUCCUUUUGUUAGAGAAGAUAAUGACGGUAUCUAACGAAUAAGCACCGGCUAACUCCGUGCCAGCAGCCGCGGUAAUACGGAGGGUGCAAGCGUUACUCGGAAUCACUGGGCGUAAAGAGCGCGUAGGCGGGAUAGUCAGUCAGGUGUGAAAUCCUAUGGCUUAACCAUAGAACUGCAUUUGAAACUACUAUUCUAGAGUGUGGGAGAGGUAGGUGGAAUUCUUGGUGUAGGGGUAAAAUCCGUAGAGAUCAAGAGGAAUACUCAUUGCGAAGGCGACCUGCUGGAACAUUACUGACGCUGAUUGUGCGAAAGCGUGGGGAGCAAACAGGAUUAGAUACCCUGGUAGUCCACGCCCUAAACGAUGGAUGCUAGUUGUUGGAGGGCUUAGUCUCUCCAGUAAUGCAGCUAACGCAUUAAGCAUCCCGCCUGGGGAGUACGGUCGCAAGAUUAAAACUCAAAGGAAUAGACGGGGAUCCGCACAAGCGGUGGAGCAUGUGGUUUAAUUCGAAGAUACACGAAGAACCUUACCUAGGCUUGACAUUGAGAGAAUCCGCUAGAAAUAGUGGAGUGUCUGGCUUGCCAGACCUUGAAAACAGGUGCUGCACGGCUGUCGUCAGCUCGUGUCGUGAGAUGUUGGGUUAAGUCCCGCAACGAGCGCAACCCCCUUUCUUAGUUGCUAACAGGUUAUGCUGAGAACUCUAAGGAUACUGCCUCCGUAAGGAGGAGGAAGGUGGGGACGACGUCAAGUCAUCAUGGCCCUUACGCCUAGGGCUACACACGUGCUACAAUGGGGUGCACAAAGAGAAGCAAUACUGCGAAGUGGAGUCAAUCUUCAAAACACCUCUCAGUUCGGAUUGUAGGCUGCAACUCGCCUGCAUGAAGCUGGAAUCGCUAGUAAUCGCAAAUCAGCCAUGUUGCGGUGAAUACGUUCCCGGGUCUUGUACUCACCGCCCGUCACACCAUGGGAGUUGUGUUUGCCUUAAGUCAGGAUGCUAAAUUGGCUACUGCCCACGGCACACACAGCGACUGGGGUGAAGUCGUAACAAGGUAACCGUAGGUGAACCUGCGGUUGGAUCACCUCCUU